GAAGGGUGCAAGCGUUACUCGGAAUUACUGGGCGUAAAGCGUGCGUAGGUGGUGGUUUAAGUCUGCUGUGAAAGCCCUGGGCUCAACCUGGGAAUUGCAGUGGAUACUGGGUCACUAGAGUGUGGUAGAGGGAUGCGGAAUUUCCGGUGUAGCAGUGAAAUGCGUAGAGAUCGGAAGGAACAUCCGUGGCGAAGGCGGCAUCCUGGGCCAACACUGACACUGAGGCACGAAAGCGUGGGGAGCAAACAGGAUUAGAUACCCUGGUAGUCCACGCCCUAAACGAUGCGAACUGGAUGUUGGGUGCAACUUGGCACCCAGUAUCGAAGCUAACGCGUUAAGUUCGCCGCCUGGGGAGUACGGUCGCAAGACUGAA
rnacentral:rRNA from 1 species